rnacentral:rRNA from 1 species
GACGAACGCUGGCGGCGUGCUUAGCACAUGCAAGUCGAACGGAAAGGCCUGCUUUCCCUUGUGGAUUGCGGGUACUCGAGUGGCGAACGGGUGAGCAACACGUGAGUGAUCUGCCCCCAACUUGGGUAUAAGCCUGGGAAACUGGGUCUAAUUCCCGAUAGGACUGCAGGGUGGUGCCUGUGGUGGAAAACGAUUUUCUAGUGGUUGGGGAUGAGCUCGCGGCCUAUCAGCUUGUUGGUGGGGUAAUGGCCUACCAAGGCGGCGACGGGUAGCCGGCCUGAGAGGGUGGACGGCCACAUUGGGACUGAGAUACGGCCCAGACUCCUACGGGAGGCAGCAGUGGGGAAUAUUGCACAAUGGGCGGAAGCCUGAUGCAGCGACGCCGCGUGGGGGAUGACGGCCUUCGGGUUGUAAACUCCUUUCGACCGCGAGGAAGCCACCUGGUUGGAAGGGUGGUGACGGUAGUGGUAGAAGAAGCACCGGCUAACUACGUG